rnacentral:rRNA from 1 species
UGGGGGAUAUUGCACAAUGGGCGAAAGCCUGAUGCAGCGACGCCGCGUGGGGGAUGAAGGCUUUCGGGUUGUAAACCUCUUUCGCUAUCGAACAAGGCCCGCUUAGGGUGGGUUGAGGGUAGGUGGAGAAGAAGCGCCGGCUAACUACGUGCCAGCAGCCGCGGUAAUACGUAGGGCGCGAGCGUUGUCCGGAAUUAUUGGGCGUAAAGGGCUUGUAGGCGGCUUGUUGCGCCUGCUGUGAAAACGCGGGGCUUAACUUCGCGCGUGCAGUGGGUACGGGCAGGCUUGAGAGUGGUAGGUGUGACUGGAAUUCCAGGUGUAGCGGUGGAAUGCGCAGAUAUCUGGAGGGACACCGAUGGAGAAGGCAGGUCACUGGGCCAUUACUGACGCUGAGGAGCGAAAGCAUGGGUAGCGAACAGG